rnacentral:rRNA from 1 species
UACGUAGGCAGCAAGCGUUGUUCGGAAUUACUGGGCGUAAAGGGUGCGUAGGCGGCUUUUUAAGUUUGGUGUGAAAUCUCCCGGCUCAACUGGGAGGGUGCGCCGAAUACUGAGAAGCUAGAGUGUGGGAGAGGAAAGUGGAAUUCCUGGUGUAGCGGUGAAAAUGCGUAGAUAUCAGGAGGAACACCGGUGGUGUAAACGGCUUUCUGGACCAUAACUGACGCUGAGGCACGAAAAGCGUGGGUAGCAAACAGG